CACGUAGGGUGCGAGCGUUGUCCGGAAUUAUUGGGCGUAAAGAGCUCGUAGGCGGUGUGUCGCGUCGGCUGUGAAAACUCGGGGGCUCAACCCUGGACCUGCAUUCGAUACGGGCAGACUAGAGUUCGGUAGGGGAGACUGGAAUUCCUGGUGUAGCGGUGAAAUGCGCAGAUAUCAGGAGGAACACCGGUGGCGAAGGCGGGUCUCUGGGCCGAAACUGACGCUGGACGGAGCGAAAGCGUGGGGAGCAAACAGG
rnacentral:rRNA from 1 species